UUAGAGAACCUUGCUCUGUUGUCAGUCGAAUGCAAGAAUGAAGCCUGAGAGUCAAACACAGCCACGACACGAGACGAGCAUCGCGCGGGGACACACGAGGCCAGCGGCAGCGACAGCGUCAGACAGAGACGGCGCACACUCACAGACGGAAAAAUUGCGGGUUUAGUCGAGAGAUCAGAUUUUACUCAGCGGCAGGAAAACCCUAGGAAAGCGGCUAGGCUUCCCGACUCAUUCUUUGAUUCUCAGGAGCGGGAGAGCGGGGUCAACGAACGGAGCAGAACGUUUGGAGAAGGAAACGGCGAGAACAUCUGGAGACAAAGCAGAAAGAAAUCAGAGCGAAGGCAAGGCCAUGGCAGCAGAAUUUUGCUAGGUAAUCGCUAAAAUCGUUAAAAGUUAAAAUAAAGAAAACCAGAAAACAAGAUCACAGCCGGACCAAAAACAGAAGAAGGGAAAAUUAACUGUAACAAGAAAAGAACUGUGAAAGAAAAUGCGAAAUGAUUUGUGAAACGACAAAAUCAACAAUUUAAUACGGCAUCAAUACUCUACCAAAAAAAAUCACCAAAUAAAAUAAAAACAAAAACCGAACUUCGAGAAGGCCUUUGUCGAGUACCCAAGAAAGAAAAAAUAGAAUCAAUUGGAGACACAGCACGAACUUCGAAGCCGUUAUACUCUCCUCUGCAAGUUAGAGUAUGCAGUAGCGCGACGUUUAAGCGAAAGAGAGUGUGGAGAGAGAGAACGAUGCAAGCAGCAAAGCACUCGCACCGAUUCUUACGGUGUUUGUUUUGAUUAUUCCGUUUGCUGACUUCUUCGUCUCGUUGGUGGUUAAAUUAUGAAAUAUUUGCAUUUCAUCUUUAUAUACAUAUGUAUCCUUUUGUGUUAUGUGAAAGUUAAAUUAAUAAGUAUUAAAGAAAAAGAAAGAUGAAGAAAGAGAAAUGUUAAAGCAGAAUAUUGAAGGAAGACGAAAGAGGAUAGGAGAAAAACACUUUGAGAAUUGCGAUGAGGAAAAAUAAACAUGAUUAAGUUUGAAAGCAUAUAAACGAAU
rnacentral:sRNA from 1 species